GGCGUGACACUAGUCACGUGACCUCGCUGACACAACAUAGUUUUAAAAUAAAUUACACAAAUACAGGGCAAUAUAUAUAGGCAUAACAUAUAGUUUUAAAAUUAAUUACACAAAUAUAGGGCAAUAUAUAUAGGCAUAACAUAUAGUUUUUAAACUGAUUACACAAAUAUAGGGCAAUAUAUAUAGGCAUAACAUAUAGUUUUAAAACUGAUUACACAAAUAUAGGGCAAUAUAUAUAGGCAUAACAUAUAAUUUUAAAAUUAAUUACACAAAUACAGGGCAAUAUAUAUAGGUAUAACAUAUAGUUUUAAAACUGAUUACACAAAUACAGAGAAAUUACUUUUGUGGCCACAACUAAUUUCAGUUUAAUCUGAGGUUCUACCUAGUUUGCUAUCCAUGUGUCAUGGACUAAUUUUGCUCCACUACUUAUAUAUAAUUUCUUCAUUUCUUGUAGAAUCAUCAGGAAUCACCCCUUUUUUUCUGGUAACUGAUAUUAACCUAGGAAUUCCCACAGCAGUAGGAAGCAAACUUCUACAAUUGGGAGCCAUAAUAUUAUCAAAAGAUGCUGGACAAGUCAGUGCUUUAACUUGGAAGAUUGGUGCUUUUACCAGUGCAGCCCGUAUUUUGACAUACACAGUUGAGGUCUGGGACCCAGUGCUGCUUUUAUACCAUUCCUUAUCACUUGUCUUGAAUUUAGCAGUUGCAAUUGCUGCUAUUGUUUACAGGAAACCAAUUACAAAGGAAGGAUGAGUCAUUUUACAUCCUUUAUUGGUUUGCACAUUAAGUUUUAAUAAUAGGUCAGGUAAAGGAUGGAUUUUCAUAUGUUUUUUUUUUAUUCCAGUGUCAAUGUUUGUAAAGAAAUGUUUCACACUUCAAACAGAAGACUGCUGUUGUCAUGUUUUGAACAAUUCCAAAAGAUUGGAAGUUUGUUUCAGGGGACCAUAUUUUGAUAACUGACUUUCUUAUAUUAGCAAACAAUGAGUGAUGUUUUGCAAGUAUUUUCUUUCCUUGUUUCCAGAAAGAAGUAGACUAGCUCCACAAAAUUGGCCUAGGGUGUCGAAUUGACCAGUCUCUCAUUAAUAUGGAACAUGAAUGAAUCAACAGAAAAGGCUGACCAUGUUAGGAGAGGCUAAUAACCAUUAUGCUUAAAUUACAAAGAAUACUUAGUGCACUAAUAAUGGAUGUCUUGCAGCAAUUAAAAGUUGCAAUUCAAUGAUGACCACCAUCAAACAUAUCUGACCCUUGCAAAAUCUCCUGAUGGAAUGGUCAAACCUAAACUACAAAUACUGUGUUGUCUGUUUAAAUAAGUAAUUAUUUAAAAUUUACAUCCAAAGUAUUUCUGAAUAUUUAAAUUAUAAAUACACCAACCUGUCAUAUAAGAACACUUGUGUUCACUUUGUAUUAACUAGACAGCAAACAAUAUAAACAAAGUCAUUCUUACACUGUAAUUAAAUUAAACUUGCUGAAACAAUUUCAAGGACUGACACAAAUGCACAAUUUCUAAAGGAUGUUAUAAUAAAGGAUCAACAAAGUUAAUCACGGUAGUUGUAUAUUGGUUAUAAGAACCACCACUAAUUGUGUAGAUUUGUUAACAAGGAGGACCAUUUCUACAAAUAACUUAAAUUUGUAUCUAACUAUGUGUAAUUAUGUUCCUCUCCUGUUAUGCAUAGUGCUUUGUUUGUUUGUUGUCAGUGUAUCUUUUCUGAAAAGGUAACACUGUGAGUGCUUUUAAUUUUGUGAAAAUCAAUAUUUGUGAGCUCAUCAAAAUUCUCUAUCUUAUGGGCUUUAAAAUUUGCAUAUUCACACAAAAAAAGCAUCAAAUGUGAAAGUAUUAUUUUUUAUGAGAGGCCUAUACAAAGUUUAAUUAUAUACUUUUUGAAAUUAAUUAUAUACACUGAAAACAAUAAAUAGGAUAUUAAUGCUUAAACAUCAAAGUUUAGAUGCUAAGCUACUCCUGCCUUUUUAUAUAUAAAUAUAAAAAAAAGCAAAAGUGGCAUAAUUAAGAUAAGUAAACCUUAAGGUUUGGACUCCUUCUUUCUGUGGUUUACCCGAUACAAAAGAAUAUUCAUCAUUUCAAGAAACCUUAAAGAGUCCAGGCUGCCAGCAGUUGUUUAGAAACAGCAGCCUUUGAUCAUAAAAGUGAUGAAUAGUAGUGAAUUAGUAAUAUAAAGGAAUAACAUCUAAUGGUUCUGUCAGAAUAACCAUACAGGAAACCUAUGUGACAAUUGUUAAAUAUUUUUAUAUUAUCUAUUUUCUGAUAUAUGUCUUUCACAUGUUGCUUUGAAUAAGUAGUAAAAGAGCUCAUAUUACAAUGGAAGUGACUUAAGUGCCACUUUUGCAGGUCGUUUUGUGGGGCCAUUUUUGUAAUGUGAAACCUCUUUACAAAUUUUUUACACUGAUCUGAAAAAAAGUAUCAGAAAAUUGUUUCACCAAACAAAAAACAAUUAAACCAAAAUACAAAAGUAUCUUUUCUGUCAACGUUUUUGAAGAGUGUGUGUGCACGCAUACAAGUGUGCUUAUGCAUAUAUAUUUAUAGAAUGUAUCUAAAUUAUACGAUACUUUAUGAAAUACUGUUUGCACAGUUGACUGCAGUAGGAAGCAAAAUUUGCAUGACUAGGUGUCAAUCAAGUUUAUCACAAGUGUACUUACUGUAGUCGUGCUGACUAGGGAGAUUUGUAAGAUUGCACUAACAGAGAUUUUGGUGUAUAUUGAUUUGCAGCAGAGACUAAAAUGUGAUGGACAUCACAAGAAAAAUUAAUAAUACAAGUAUAAUGACCAAUUUGACUUUUUUUAAUAUCUCCAGUGAUCAAAUUCAUGUUGGAAUCUUUAUAUGGUUAUAGUAAGUGGUAAUUUUGGACCAAAAACUCAAAUUGGAAAGCCAUCAACAUUUUAAAGUCAAAAGGCUCAACUCUAUGGUAUUUGUAAUCAAGGAACACAUUUCAAUGCCAGGUUUGCUAGUAAUAAAUAACAUGGCUAAAGGGUUUUAUGCAUUAAAUUCGAAAUUUUUGGUGUUUUUAAUUAUAACAUAAGAUUACUAUUUGGAAAGCCCAGUGUUCUAUCUCUUGAAAUGCAUGUAAUUUGAACCAGUUGGAAAAAACCCCUUUCUUAAAGCAGAAAAUUGACCUGUGUAAAAACAAGUUUAGAUCUAUUGUUUUGAAACUACAAGAAAUUUGUAUACAGAUACGAGUUUCAACACUUGCGUAUCUUCUUCAGUCCGUCUGCUCAUGAGAAAAACAGAUACACUGUUUAUUUCAGAAUGGAAGUUUCAAGCCCCUUGACACCAGAAGACAAAGGAAAUCGCUGGUUCUGAUAUGUUGUUGACACAUUUUCUGUUUGUCCAAUCAAUAGAAAUUACUUGUAAGCUUUUUUCCACAAGAUUAACAAGCUUCACGGUACUAUUUAGUUUAAAGUGGAAGGAGAAACCCAUAAUUUGCUCCCAUUUUUAAGACAUUAAUACUUGGAGCAGAAAUAGCUACUAUUUUAUCUAUGGAGGAUCAAUGAAUCCUUUAAGCUAUUUUAAUAUUCCACCAUGAAACAUCAAUUAUCUACAAUGUUUUUAAGAGCUUACAGAUUAUAUCAUCACAAAAGCAUUGUUAAAGAAAUAAAAAUAUGUAUACAAUUUUCAAAUGGUUACAGUAUCCUAUAGGCUUUAUUAAGAAUGUCCAUCUAAGGACAAAGAACUGGGUGGGGGGCUAGUACCAGCAAGUAGCAUAUUCUACAUGUGAAAAAAUAAAAUAUUUAGUGUUAACUACAGUUCCAGUAUUGUGGCUUUAGAGAAAUGUCUGUAAAAUAAUUUUAAAGUUGUUUAUAAAUAUCCCAACACCAUUAAAGAUUUCUUACCCUUGAACAACUCUGUAUCUCAAAAUAAAGAGCAGGGAGUGUAUAAAGUCCCCUGACAAUCUUGCAAAAAGAGUAAAUGAUGGUAAAAUGUACAUACAAAGCUUGCAGUACAUAAAAAGGAUGUUAAAUAUCUGUUUUUCUAUAUGAGGAAUUUCAGACCUAAAAUCAACUGGAUAUCAGUUAAAAUAAUUAAUAAAAUUAGAAAUUAUGUGUAAAGAUAGAUUGUGGAAAGUUUGUUCCUUAAUCCAAAGUUUGCCAAACUUCAACACGUCUGAAGGUCACUUUAAACUCAACCCCUUUAUGAUGUCAUAUGCUAUUAAUGGAUUUGAAACUUCCAUCAUAAAAUUAACAGUUUAUGCAUGGUCACCCAUAAAAAAAAAAAAAAAAAAAUUCUUGGGGGAGGCAAAACGUAUUU